GGAAUAUUGGGCAAUGGAGGCAACUCUGACCCAGCCAUGCCGCGUGCAGGAAGACGGCCCUAUGGGUUGUAAACUGCUUUUAUACAGGAAGAAACUUAUCCACGUGUGGAUAACUGACGGUACUGUAAGAAUAAGGACCGGCUAACUCCGUGCCAGCAGCCGCGGUAAUACGGAGGGUCCAAGCGCUAUCCGGAAUCAUUGGGUUUAAAGGGUCCGUAGGCGGGCAAUUAAGUCAGAGGUGAAAUCCCACAGCUCAACUGUGGAACUGCCUUUGAUACUGGUUGUCUUGAGUUAYAGUGAAGUAGAUAGAAUAUGUAGUGUAGCGGUGAAAUGCAUAGAUAUUACAUAGAAUACCGAUUGCGAAGGCAGUCUACUAACUGUAUACUGACGCUAAUGGACGAAAGCGUGGGGAGCGAACAGGAUUAGAUACCCUGGUAGUCCACGCCGUAAACGAUGGUCACUAGUUGUUGGGSCUCUUGUACCUCAGUGAUUAAGAGAAAUUGAUAAGU
rnacentral:rRNA from 1 species